CGGGGCCGGGGCGGGGCCCUCCCGUGUGCCGCGGUGCUUCCGUCCGAGCCGUGUCAGCUUCCGCCCCGCGCUGCCGCUCUUCUCCCAGCUGUCGACAGCUCGCUUGGGCCCCGACCAAUUUACAUCUUGGCAUGUUUUGUUUGGACUGCCCGUGCCCCACAUGGACAUGACCCCCUAAGGAUCCUGAAGGUGAUCAGUGGCAAUGGGAAAGACAUUAUAAGGUAAGGAAAAAGAAGCCUCUAGUGGAAGGAGCAGUAAAAGAAGCAAGAAACAAAAAUGGGGUAAAUGAGACUAAAUAUAUAUGGUGACACUGAGGCCAAGUGACAAGUUUGAAGCCAGGGAAGAAGAAACAUGCCUUAGAACAUAUCCUAGAAAUGGAAAGUAUGAGUUCAGUAUCAUGCGAGUGAGAUGAGGGCAGUGGAACAUAUGAAUGACAGCUCUACAUUUUUCAGUUUUCCACCUCCAGGGGUGAAAACUUGUGGACUUAGUUGUGGAUUGGCUGAGAAGGACAAUCACUGCACAAUCAGUUUGAGAAGGUGGUUAUUCAGGCUGACUUUCCCUCCAGCUCACAGCAAGCCCCCAAAAAUUCCCCCUCUGAAAAUCAAAGGAGGAAGCUGUAGUUUGACCUGGUCACUUACUUUGGCCCUGACACCAGGUGUUAGAGCAGAGCUGUGCAUUGCUGGAUUUUUUUCACUUACAUUCUAUGCCACUUACUAACGUUUUUAGCAGUUGCGGCAGAUUAAUCUAUAAUUGUUCUCUUGUACAAUUAUAGACCUCUAUAGUAUUAAUAGCAGCAGCUGAAUUAAUAAUGAGUAUAAAUUGAAGAACUAUGCCUUUGAAUGACACUGAUUGGUUUGUGCCUUCCCCUGACUCAAGUCCUGAGCCAGCAAAAGUAGAUUUGCAGCGUCUUAAGUGGUGAAAGGCUAAAUGCGGUUCAGUAGGAGACUGUGGUUACUGCCGUGGUCCUUGCACUCCAGCUUGUGCCUCUGGAGGAUGAAUGGUUGUGAUCAACUGCUUGAUCUCAUAUAGACUCUGAGGAAGAGGGUUAAGGAAAGAGGGUCCAGAGUUUCAGGACACCAUCCUUUUUAACCCUUCAGCGGUCUAUCUGCAUGUGUAUGACUGAGAUGCAUUAUACAGGUAAUCCUUCAUACACGGCUCAUUCAUUCAUACCUCUUAAGUUGAUGGAGUGCUUGGGAGGUAAUACCACAAAGUCAGCUGAUACAGCUCAUAUUAUUAGUGGCAUUCCAAAAGCUUCCAGCUUUCGAACGAAAUGAAGAGCGUGGGAAACGCGUAACACAGGGCUUCUAAUUUCAUGUUGGAUUUAUACGGUUACGAGGCUUAGUUUUACAAUUUUGUGACUGUUUAAUACGUGGCAAUUGUUAUUAGCUUCUCCAGAAUACAACUGAUGACGGAACUACAUGCAUUUGGAAAUGUACAUUUCAAAAGCCAUAAGACAGGUCUUGUUAAUUUAAUUUUGAUAUUCUUGUUUUCUUUGCUUCUUCAUACAGCAUCUCUCAGCUGCCAAGUAAAGAAGGUAAAACCUGUCCACACGAAAGACUUAUUAGCCAAUAAAGGGAUGCUGCCCAGAGCAGAGAUGAGGUCAGGAAGGCCAAGACAAAGUAUGUUGAACAGAAAAGGAAAGAAAAUGCAUACAUCACACUCCCCAUGCACUCCUGAUAAGCAAGACAAGAAAACUAGAGGCAAUUGUCAUGGAGAAGGCUGAGAUACUCAGCAACUUUUUCAUCUCAGUUUUCCAUGGUACUCUCUCUUCCUACUUCUCUCGAGCCCCUGCCCCUCAAGACAGGGACUGGGGGAAUACGUAACAGCCAUUAAAAAUGAAGAUCAAGUGUGGGACCAUGCGAGGAACCUGAACAUACGGCAUCCCGGGGGGCAGCAGCGGCAGUGUCAUAGGGAAGGGAUGAACCAACUGCUGCCGCCGGCCCCAGUACAGGAACAGAGCAGAGCAUGAGCAGGAGCCAAGGCAGUGUCCCCAGCCACACUGCCCCCGUGCCGUGGGGUGGCUGUCAGUCCACGACAGCAGAGCUGGGGAGGAACUUCAGGCCUUCUGGGGGCUGCCACCCUUUCUUGUUGCAGCAGAGCCCCUUUUUGGGGGCGUGUGCAUAUGGAAAUGCUUUAAUAAAGCAACACGCUGCUGUCCAGAUUUCCCUCAGCGCUGGCCGGGAAAGGCGAGGAUUUGGAUCAGGAAUUCUGCAAGCAGGGCCUCUGUGACCAUUAGCUUCCUGCGUGUGUGUCAGUGAGCCAAAAUCAAGAGCAAAGGUUGGUUUGGUUUUCAGAACUUCAAGUAACUUUAAAAUAAAAUAAAUCAACUCUUUCUCCUUUUUUUUUACUUUAGAUGCUGGAAAUGCCUCUCUGGAUGCGUGCUGAGUUCUCGCUGCCGUCAACUGUGCGGCCCGAAUUGCUGCAGGUUCCCGUUCUCACUGGGGAAUUGGAAAUAAUUAUUAUUUGGGCCGCAGAGAUGUUUUCUGAAACCUUUUCCAUUUUUCUGCCUUUUAACGGUAGAUCUUCUCUUUCUGCCUUUGAUUUUACAGCAAUUUUCUGAUGUCAUUCACCUACCAAAUUCCUUGCAACUCCUGGGGCAAAGAGAAGCUUCUUCUGUGGCCAGCAUUCAGUGGAAGGAUGAUACUGCUGAAAAAAUUGUUCAGGACUCGUUCCCUCACACCUGCGGUUCGUUGCGGAAAAGAUCUGUUUUUGUGAGCAGAUGUCAUCACGGCUCGUGCAGUGGAAAGCAGAAGAGUUCCUGGUAAUAAGAUCAUCUAGGUGGGAGCGUGAGUGCCAGCCAAAACCUUUCUGUGUUCCAGCACCAUGCCACCGCAGGAGGAAAGGGCGUGAGGUGCAAAGCCCUGAGCAGAGCGGUGGGAAAUGGGAGGUGAGGAAAGGUUGAGCUAGCUAAGGAUGGAUUUUAACUGGGCUGGGUGUUAGCACAUGAAGAGGUAUUUGUCAUCCAGAUUGCCAAAAUGAAGACCUGGAAAAUCCUAGCUCUGCCUUGUGUUUAAUGUGAUUCUACUUCAUAUUUAUGUCAUCACAAAAAGCAAGGAAACAAUAAAUGUCACUGUUUCUCACUA